UAAUACGGGGGGUGCAAGCGUUAUUCGGAAUUAUUGGGCGUAAAGGGCGCGCAGGCGGUUUGGCAAGUCAGCUGUGAAAGCCCGGGGCUCAACCCCGGAAGUGCAGUUGAAACUGCUGAACUUGAGUAUGGGAGAGGGAAGUGGAAUUCCUGGUGUAGAGGUGAAAUUCGUAGAUAUCAGGAGGAACACCGGUGGCGAAGGCGACUUCCUGGACCAAUACUGACGCUGAGGCGCGAAGGCGUGGGGAGCAAACAGGAUUAGAUACCCUGGUAGUCCACGCAGUAAACGUUGAACACUAGGUGUAGCGGGUAUUGACCCCUGCUGUGCCGCAGCUAACGCAUUAAGUGUUCCGCCUGGGGAGUACGGUCGCAAGAUUA
rnacentral:rRNA from 1 species